AAACCAGCACCUCAAGUGGUCAGGAUGAUUAUUGGGCCUAAAGCAUCCGUAGCCUGCUUUGUAAGUUUUCGGUUAAAUCCAUAUGCUCAACAUAUGGGCUGCCGGGAAUACUGCACAGCUAGGGAGUGGGAGAGGUAGACGGUACUCGAGAGGAAGUGGUAAAAUGCUUUGAUCUCUCGAUGACCACCAGUGGCGAAGGCGGUCUACCAGAACACGUCCGACGGUCAGGGAUGAAAGCUGGGGGAGCAAACCGGAUUAGAAACCCCAGUAGUCC
rnacentral:rRNA from 1 species